GACAUACCACAGUGCUGACCCCGGAGAGGUUUAGCACGCUCCCCCAGCAGGGAUGCCAGCAGCUGGACUGCAGCUGUUACCGCCGGAGUGGGGGCUGGAGCCGUCGCCAGCAGUCCCUGCUGUUUGCCUAAACUAGGCCCGCCAGCAGAUCCCCUCCAUUUGCUCCCACCCCGCUCCUCCUCAUGCGGCCUCCCCCACUGCUAGGGACGGGAAGGGAGCAGCUGAGCCUGCCCUGGCAGGAUGGGGGUGGGGUGGGGGAGCUUGGCUCUAGAGAGAGGAGGUCUCCUUUAUGAACCGAGGCAUGUCCUUGAAGGGUAGGGCAAUGUCCUCCCCAUUGCAUUUCUGGGGAAACUGAGGCCCAAGGAAAAAUAGGAAUUGGUCCCCAGUCACACAACCAGGGCAUGCUAGAGCUAGGGCUGGCACCCAACUGAGUCUAGAAGCACCACACCACUGGCUCUGGCCCUCUGUGCUGUGCUCUUGGCCCUCCCUGCAGCAAUUCAGCACACACUACAGAGACUGCCCCGUGCAGACAGCAGCAUUUAACCAGCAUUACUCCCGGCACAACCUCGGGGAGGGCGAGGGGCCCGAUGACUGAACAAAAGGAGCACUAGGAAACGGAUCAUAGAAAUAGAAAGAGGGACACAGAGAGGGAAAGGAGGGUACGUGAGUAGGGGAGCAGGAGGGAACGCAUGGGAGAGGGAAACAGAGAAGUAAGGAGAGGCAGAGAAAGUUAGAGAAAGAAAAGAGAGAGGUGAUGAGGUGCCCAGAACGAGUGGAAAGAAAGGACAAGAUCACCUCCCUCCCCCAGCUAGUUCCGAGCCCCUCCCAGCACAGACAAAGCCUGUGGGGUAGAGAGAGGAUUGCACAGACAAAGCCUGUGGGGUAGAGAAAGGACAGGGAGGGAGGAAGGGUGGGAGGGCUGCUUGGGGAGCAGGGCAAAGGCGGAGCGGGCAUUAAAAUCGGUUUCUGGGAGGCAUCUCCUGCCAUCCCACAAUGCCUCAAGCUCCCUGAGUGACCUAGCGCAAACACACCAGCCCGCCUCCCACCGUGAUGUGGCACUUCUAGACUCAAGUGGGCUAAUCUGCGACGGGACGCUAAGCAAACACCCCCUCAGCCAGAGAGAGUCAUCACUCCUUCCGGCCCAAGGGGAGACGCAGCUGCAUAAAGAACCACCCCCCUACCGCCGCCUCCACUGUCUCACUGUCUGGCCCCUACUCUUCAGCCCUUCCUCAUCUAGAGCUGGAUCUGACACCAAAGGCGUCUUGUGAGCAGUGUCAUGACCGAGAAUGAAUACUCUGGAUGUGGUGGCUGGCUCCUUGUGAAGAAGAAUUCAAUCAGAUUCCAUUUGAUUAAUCUGCAUUGAGAUCCUAGUAUGUGUCCGACACUAUGCAGAAAUACUUCACUCCCUCUUCCAUGGCAGACCAUGAUGAACUAGGGUUUGCUGUUUUCACGGCUUCUGUCACUGUUGGAGCUGAGGCUGAGGCUGCAGCAGGAGCUCCUCUGGCCCCGAGGCAAGAGACAUGUUCUCUGCAUCCCCAGGGGACCCAAAGCAACUUCUGGUUUGGGUUAAAGAGGACUUGGGUGACCCCACCCUGCCAGUCAUCCACCCUCUGGCAGCCAGGGCGGCAGCAGGGGAGGGGGCAAAAGGCUGCCACAGUGCUUCUCUCCCCUGCCAUUUCCUCUGCAGCUCCCUCUCUGGCCCUGUUUUUCAGACCUCUAGUAAUAAAAACAAGCCAAUAAAAUGAACAUGAAAAUAUAUUCA